ensembl:lncRNA
GACCUUUCCUGGAUUUUGCAUACGAUAAACACAUUUGCGAUCGAUGGAGAAGCUGAAUGCGGUGGGCUGGAAGCCCAUCCUCCUUCUGGAAUAUCCGAAGAAGGAGGCAAGGAUGCUCCUCCCAGAAGGCCUCGUUCCAAGUGUGGGGGGAAAGGAAAUGUCUCGAUGACAUUGAAGAAAUGUACACCUUCAUGAUUGAAGGUGAUUCCACAUUUACCGUACAUUAUAACGUCUCUAUGCAACCCUAAUUCUGAAAAAUGUGGCAUCAAAUAACAAAAUGUACUUACAUUUUUAAUUUUUAGUCCGUUACCCAAGACCCACCACAACAACAAGGUGUGGUUAGCAUAGCUUCAUCAUUAUCUUUCAUAUUUUUGUGAGAAUGUGCUUUAGCAGCAUAUUAUUAUCAUUAUUAUGGUAUAUUAUUAUCAAAGUAUAUAUUCUAUGUGUGUACAG